CCCACCGACCCCCCUCCCCCCGGGUGUACACCUGAGUCCACCACCUGCCUCCGUCUCAGAUAUACUAAUUGUGUGGGGAGGUAAACACGGCAGUCAAGUGGAGAGGACGGCGAGUGGAGCGUGAAUAUCAAUCUCCCCACAUCAGUGUCAUCGGAUGACUUUGACUGAGUUGAGACGGGGGCUCAUUAGAGUGGUGGAGCUGCGGCGAUGGCAUCCUGGUGGAGGCCUCUGAAGUUGUGGAAGCCUGCAGAGCUCAGGAAGAUGUUACGAGUGAGCCCAUGUGAGCAGAUCCACUGCGGAGUCAUCGCUGUGUCCUGCCCCCUGCGUGAAAUGUUCCUGCUGUUGUGAACUCGUCGGAUACGAGAAAUCCUGCAGCAUUUGGCCAAUAUCAAGGAGCAGGAGAAAAAGGCACAUCGGAGAGGAACAAGAGAAAAGAGACAGAUUGACUGGACAGUGCAGACAACAGGGAAGGCACAGCGGAAUAAGAUCUAUCGGGCUUCGGCUCGCACGGACAGCAACGGGCUCCUCCUCCGUCGCCAUCUGCCCGUCUCCCGCCACCGAGGCAGAAGUCGAGGGCCCCACGGACGCCGACUUUGCCUGGAGAGAUGGGUUCCAGAAGAUCGGGCGUGGAAAAGGGAGGAAGAGAGAUAUCAGAUGGCGAGGCGGCGUUGGAGGCAACCGGCGGGAAUGAAGUGACAGGCCGUGGUGGAGCGCAGGGACAGAAUCAAGAGCCCCUGCAUGGCAGAAGACACCGUCCCCUCGCUCACUUUGCGUGACGCGCCGAGACUGUUGGACAGAUCGGACGCAGGGAGCGAGGGAAAACGUGACAAAAACGGACAUGACGCGGCAGGCGGGGGAAGUCAGGCGCUGGAAUGAUGGGUCACGACGGCAGCUCUGAUCGUGACGCGGACGACAGUAAUGAAGGUAAUGCAUCAUGUGUUCACGAUGUGGAAUUGAAACAUCAACGCUCCGCUCCUCAAUCUGCCACAGCGGCGGGCGCGGAACAUCCAGCCAUGAGACGAUAUGAUGAUGCAGUGUUAUUACCCUCUGGUCAUCUAUUGGAGAUGUGUGACUGCGAUCGAGGCACAUUCCAUCCCGGCACCUCUCUGCUGACAUCCCUGAUUAUCCCCCCCCCCCCUUGUGUGUCUCCUCCCACAUAUGUGGAAAGUAAUCCGAUUCUGACAUUACAGACGAUGACGUCGAUGGCGAUGAUUACAUGCAUGAGAUGAAUGACCCCUCAUCGCUGGCACAUCUCACAAGGCGACUUAACCAGAGUUGCAGUGGCUGGUGAACUUACUCGUGUUCUCUCUUCUCCCCCCCCCCCCGGCAAAUUAACAUUUGGGCAUAGCCUCUUGACUAAUGGACACAGAGCCGAGGGGGAUAACAUGCCUUCCAGCAGCAGGGAUGAGUGCUGAUCCUGAGUAAACAACACGGUGGGAACAGAGUGACCCACCUGUUCCGAACCCCCGUGUCUCUGUUGUCCUUUGCAAAUGGAUAACAGGUGCGUCUGCUCGUGUCGCCUCCUGGCUUGGCGCUUUGCCGAAAAGCUCGAAGAGAAUUAAACGGAGAGAGAGAGAGAGAGAGAGAGAGAGAGAGGCAACGCGUAACAUCACAACUGUAAUUGAAAAGAA